rnacentral:rRNA from 1 species
UACCAGCACCCCGAGUGGUCGGGACGAUUAUUGGGCCUAAAGCAUCCGUAGCCGGCCUUACAAGUCCUCCGUUAAAUCCAGCUGCUUAACAGAUGGGCUGCGGAGGAUACUAUAAGACUAGGAGGCAGGAGAGGCAAGCGGUACUCAGUGGGUAGGGGUAAAAUCCGUUGAUCCAUUGAAGACCACCAGUGGCGAAGGCGGCUUGCCAGAAUGCGCUCGACGGUGAGGGAUGAAAGCUGGGGAGCAACCGG